GGUACCCUCAGACACCACCGGAUAGCCCUUUAGGAUUGAUAUUAACAAAUUGGGAAAAUUACCCCUCUAGGCGGGGUAAGGACAAAGUAAAAAUGAUUUAUUAUUGUAUGGAAGUUGGGGGAGGCAAACAGAUUAGAGGAGACCAUCUUUAUUGGCCUGUUUUCAGGUCUUUUGAAGAGUGGGUCUGCCAAGCUUUGAAUAUUUAUGUUAAUUCAAAGGAACCUUUUAAUUUGGAAGAAAGCGAGUAUGCACACGCAUGUGAAUUAUAUGCUCUAUUAAAGGCUUUACAAUUACUGAAAGGAAAAGUAGGAACAAUAUAUACAGAUUCUAGAUAUGCUUUUGGGGUGGUACAUACCUUUGGAAAAAUCUGGGAGGAGAGAGGUUUAAUUAAUUCCCAGGGAAAAAGUCUGGUACAUCAGGAUUUGACAGUACAAACCUUACAAGCUGUACGGGGGCAGCCGAAAUAGCAGUAGUACAUCUAAAAGGACACCAGAGGGGGCUAAGUCCUCUCAUCAGAGGAAAUAACCUUGCUGAUCAGGAGGCAAAAAGGGCCGCUUUGUUAACAUUACAUUUAGACGACCCCACAGAAGCUAGAAAACAGUGCGUUAAUUGUGGA